AUGGAGGAUGCUAGCAAGAGUGUUGGAAGUUGCAAUUCGUAUGAGUAUUCAAAGGUUCCUAGAUGCGGAUUUUGUUUUCUGAUGAAGAUGUGCUUUUCUAACACCGUAAAAAAUCGUAAUAGGAAAUUCUGGAAAUGUAGGAAUGCUGGGAUGGACAAUAGUAGUGAUCUAUUUAUUUGGGAUGAUGAAAUUUCUCACUCUAUUAGUGAAAUCUCAAAAUUCUGA